CCUACGGGAGGCAGCAGUAGGGAAUUUUCCACAAUGGGCGAAAGCCUGAUGGAGCAACGCCGCGUGGGUGAAGAAGGUCUUCGGAUCGUAAAACCCUGUUGUUAGAGAAGAAAGUGCGUGAGAGUAACUGUUCACGUUUCGACGGUAUCUACCCAGAAAGCCACGGCUCACUACGUGCCAGCAGCCGCGGUAAUACGUAGGUGGCAAGCGUUAUCCGGAUUUAUUGGGCGUAAAGGGAACGCAGGCGGUCUUUUAAGUCUGAUGUGAAAGCCUUCGGCUUAACCGGAGUAGUGCAUUGGAAACUGGGAGACUGGAGUGCAGAAGAGGAGAGUGGAACUCCAUGUGUAGCGGUGAAAUGCGUAGAUAUAUGGAAGAACACCAGUGGCGAAAGCGGCUCUCUGGUCUGUAACUGACGCUGAGGUUCGAAAGCGUGGGUAGCAAACAGGAUUAGAUACCCCAGUAGUC
rnacentral:rRNA from 1 species